rnacentral:rRNA from 1 species
CCCUUAGAUGUCCUGGGCCGCACGCGUGCUACACUGAUAUUGCCAAUAUGUCAUUCUUAUCCGAAAUGGAUUGGGUAAUCAAGUAAUGAAAUUUCAUGCUUGGAAUCGGUAAUUGCAAUUUUAUCGUGAACGAGGAAUUCCUAGUAAGCACUAGUCAUCAGCUAAUGUUGAUUAUGUCCCUGCCCUUUGUACACACCGCCCGUCGCUACUACUGAUUGGGUGUUCAAGUGAGAUGCUUAGACCCUUGUUGCAUGGUUCAUUAUUGUGCUCCGAAAGGAAAAAGUUUCAAGCUUGAGUGCCUAGAGGAAGUAAAAGUCGUAACA